rnacentral:rRNA from 1 species
UACGUAGGGUGCGAGCGUUGCCCGGAUUUAUUGGGCGUAAAGGGCGCGUAGGCGGUGAGAUGCGUCCGUUGUGAAAUCGCCCGGCUCAACUGGGCGGGGUCAGCGGAUACGGUCUCACUUGAGCAAGCUAGGGGGCAAUGGAAUUCCCGGUGUAGUGGUGGAAUGCGUAGAUAUCGGGAGGAACACCAGUGGCGAAAGCGGACCGCUGGCCCUCGUCUGACGCUGAGGCGCGAAAGCCAGGGGAGCGAACGGG